UAAGGAAUAUUGGACAAUGGAGGCAACUCUGAUCCAGCCAUGCCGCGUGAAGGAAUAAGGCCCUAUGGGUUGUAAACUUCUUUUAGACGGGACAAGACCCCUUUACGUGUAAAGGGUUGAUGGUACUGUCAGAAUAAGCAUCGGCUAACUUCGUGCCAGCAGCCGCGGUAAUACGAAGGAUGCAAGCGUUAUCCGGAAUUAUUGGGUUUAAAGGGUGCGUAGGCGGACUAAUAAGUCAGUGGUGAAAGCCUGCAGCUUAACUGCAGAAUUGCCAUUGAUACUGUUAGUCUUGAGUACAGUUGAGGUAGGCGGAAUGUGUCAUGUAGCGGUGAAAUGCUUAGAUAUGACACAGAACACCGAUUGCGAAGGCAGCUUGCUAAGCUGUAACUGACGCUGAGGCACGAAAGCGUGGGGAGCAAACA
rnacentral:rRNA from 1 species